rnacentral:rRNA from 1 species
GCCUGCUGGGCUUUAACUGACGCUGAGGCACGAAAGCGUGGGUAGCAAACAGGAUUAGAUACCCUGGUAGUCCACGCUGUAAACGAUGAUUACUAGGUGUGGGGGGUCUGACCCCUUCCGUGCCGCAGUUAACACAAUAAGUAAUCCACCUGGGGAGUACGGCCGCAAGGUUGAAACUCAAAGGAAUUGACGGGGGCCCGCACAAGCAGUGGAGUAUGUGGUUUAAUUCGAAGCAACGCGAAGAACCUUACCAGGUCUUUACAUCCUAGGAAUCGGCUAGAGAUAGCUGAGUGCCCUUCGGGGAAUCUAGAGACAGGUGGUGCAUGGUUGUCGUCAGCUCGUGUCGUGAGAUGUUGGGUUAAGUCCCGCAACGAGCGCAACCCUUACUGUUAGUUGCUACGCAAGAGCACUCUAGCAGGACUGCCGUUGACAAAACGGAGGAAGGUGGGGAUGACGUCAAAUCAUCAUGCCCCUUAUGUCCUGGGCUACACACGUACUACAAUGGCCGUUAACAGAGGGCAGCGAAAUAGUGAUAUGGAGCAAAUCCCCAAAAACGUCCCAGUUCAGACCGCAUGCUGCAACUCGCCUGCACGAAGGUGG